GCUCAGAUGGAUAGCUCAGUUCGUCAAGCAUGCGACUCUUAAUCUCAGGGUCGUGGGUUUGAGCCCCAUGUUGGGCA